rnacentral:rRNA from 1 species
AGAGUUUGAUCAUGGCUCAGAACGAACGCUGGCGGCAUGCCUAACACAUGCAAGUCGAACGAGACCUUCGGGUCUAGUGGCGCACGGGUGCGUAACGCGUGGGAAUCUGCCCUUGGGUUCGGAAUAACAGUUAGAAAUGACUGCUAAUACCGGAUAAUGUCUUCGGACCAAAGAUUUAUCGCCCAGGGAUGAGCCCGCGUAGGAUUAGCUAGUUGGUGAGGUAAAGGCUCACCAAGGCGACGAUCCUUAGCUGGUCUGAGAGGAUGAUCAGCCACACUGGGACUGAGACACGGCCCAGACUCCUACGGGAGGCAGCAGUGGGGAAUAUUGGACAAUGGGCGAAAGCCUGAUCCAGCAAUGCCGCGUGAGUGAUGAAGGCCUUAGGGUUGUAAGCUCUUUUACCCGGGAUGAUAAUGACAGUACCGGGAGAAUAAGCCCCGGCUAACUCCGUG